GUCAACGUCCACAUCACUUUGAAAACACCAGUUCUCGUCCGAUCACUGAAGUUAAGCAAAGUUGAGCGCGGUUAGUACUUGGAUGGGUGACCGCCUGGGAACCCCGCGUGACGUUGGUACUC
rnacentral:rRNA from 1 species